AUACGUAGGGUGCAAGCGUUAAUCGGAAUUACUGGGCGUAAAGCGUGCGCAGGCGGUUUUGUAAGACAGAGGUGAAAUCCCCGGGCUCCACCUGGGAACUGCCUUUGUUACUGCAAGGCUAGAGUACGGAAGCGGGGGACGGAAUUUCUCGCUGAACAGUGAACUGCGUAGAUAUGCGGAGGAACACCGAUGGCGAAGGCAAUCCCCUGGGCCUGUACUGACGCUCAUGCACGAAAGCGUGGGGAGCAAACAGGAUUAGAUACCCUGGUAGUCCACGCCCUAAACGAUGUCAACUGGUUGUUGGGUCUUCAUUGACUCAGUAACGAAGCUAACGCGUGAAGUUGACCGCCUGGGGAGUACGGCCGCAAGGUUGAAACUCAAAUGAAUUGACGGGG
rnacentral:rRNA from 1 species